AGCGAACGCUGGCGGCAGGCCUAACACAUGCAAGUCGAGCGAAGCCUUCGGGCUUAGUGGCGGACGGGUGAGUAACACGUGGGAACGUACCUUUUGGUUCGGAAUAACGCAGAGAAAUUUGCGCUAAUACCGGAUGAGCCCUUCGGGGGAAAGAUUUAUCGCCGAAAGAUCGGCCCGCGUUGGAUUAGGGAGUUGGUGUGGUAAAAGCGCACCAAGCCUACGAUCCAUAGCUGGUCUGAGAGGAUGAUCAGCCACACUGGGACUGGGACACGGCCCAGACUCCUACGAGAGGCAGCAGUGGGGAAUCUUGCGCAAUGGGCGAAAGCCUGACGCAGCCAUGCCGCGUAAAUGAUGAAGGUCUUAGGAUUGUAAAAUUCUUUUACCAGGGACGAUAAUGACGGUACCUGGAGAGAAAGCCCCGGCUAACUUCGUGCCAGCAGCCGCGGUAAAAC
rnacentral:rRNA from 1 species